GACCGAGAGACCGCGCUGUCUGGGCUGGCCUCUGGAGGCUGGGAGGUGCAGACGGGCGCAUCAGGACAGCGUUGUGGGAAGAAACGCCGGUGGGGAAGGCGGAUCUGAGAUAUUCGAGGGACCCCAGGUUACUCUAAAGCAUCUGGAGCCGACGAGAAGGCGCUGGUUUCCGAGGGGGGAAUCCUGGGAGACGAGAGCAAAGGAGUGAAUCGCAGGAACCCGGACAGCUGUGUUGUUUAACCCAGAACAGCCUGCCAAGGAAACCAGAAGGUGAAGAGCAGAUACUAGGAGAAGCGCCCCGAGAAGUGUUCCAGAAGCUGAGGUUGAGAGGGUGACAGUGACUUAACAAGAUGAAGGAAAGGCAGAAACUGGAGGCUUGAUUUUACUUCUGGAACAAGCCAGGGGGAAGAGCUGCAGAAAGAGCCCACAUCCUCAUUCAAGCUUUCAGGAGACUAGUGAUUACCUGCCUUAUCAGCUCCCAGAAACAAGGUUCCUGAUCUGACCCAAAGACCUGCAUGUGACCUGGAACAAGCAUUUUUCUAUCUUUCCUCAGUCCCAGAGGCUGGUUCCGGAAAAGACCUCAGCCUUCCAAGAGCAUGUUACUGCCAAGUCAUGCUCUGAGGAUCCUGGAAUGGAGCCCCGUAUCAGGUUCUACACUCAGCAGGGGGCAAGGAGGUGCAUCUGCAGUGGCCACUGUGAGCCAGACAGUGAGGAGAAAAUGAGGCAGAGCAGGGCAGGGAGGAGCUCUGAAUCCAGGAUUCAUUUCCCUAUCUGGUGAAGGGAGAAGAGGUGGAAGUGAAACCGCUCAACAGGGCUCACCCAACCAGAAAACAUCAGAAGGGGCAUCUCAGUGUCUGGGAAACAAGCUAGAACCAACAUAGCUGAGAAAGCCCCAACCUAUGUGGGGUUCAGGGAUUUUAUUUAUUUAUUUCUGAGAAUACACAGAGAGGAGAGAGAGAAGCAGAGACACAGGCAGAGGGAGAAGCAGGCGCCAUGCAAGGACCCUGACAUGGGACUCGAUCCCGGGUGUCCAGGAUCAGGCCCUGGGCCGAAGGCAGCGCUAAACCACUUGAGCCACCCGGGCUGCCCUUUUUUUCUGUUUUAUUUCUUCUUGAAAUUUUUAUCUUCUUUAUACAAGAUGUCUCUAAUAUUUUACUACUUAGUAUAAAAUUAAUUCUUUGCUUUAUAAAUUUUUAAAAAAUAAAUAUGUCUUUUUUACAAAUUUGUGUAGGACUGUAGUAAAAACCCCUGAUACUUCUUAACAAAAUGAUAGAACUUAAUUGUUAAAAUUAAUUGUAUGUUGUAUUUAUUCAACUGUUUUUGUUUUGAAUUAAA